rnacentral:lncRNA from 1 species
AGAUUGAUUGCCCAUUCAAAUUCAAACUUUAUUUUGAAUUUGAAUGGCCAACCAAUCAUCCUUAUCCAUUCAAAUGGCACAUUAAAGUGGGGCAUGGAGAGGGCUUGGUGUGAGGAAAAAAUUCAUGAGAAGUUCCUUCUCAUGAAUUCAAAUGGGUGGAAUGGAAGUGACAUGGCGCAUGGAGAUUAGGUCAAGGUGGUUUAAUUAUUUAAACCAACCUAAUUGAACCAAAUAAGUUAGGUCCAAUUAGACUAAUUUAAAUCCAACUAAAUUAAGCUUAAUUAGGCUUAAUAAAAUCCUAAUCAAAUUAAGAAUUGAUUAAGCCCAACCCCUGAUCAAAUCAGGGACCAAACCAUCUCGACGAUUAGGUCAACUCUUAACCUAAUCGGGUCAAACCCAACUGAAUCCAAUUCAAUUGGACUUGAUCCAAAAAUAAUUACUCAAUCAAAUUGAGUUAAUUAGCGAUCAAAUCACUAAUUAAACCUCUCAUAAAUACUGAGUCCAAAUUUGGUGGGCAAUCGGGCAUCAGAAUUCAUCGAUAUGUAACCCUGAUCGAAAAGUCCCA